GGAGCGGUAUCGAAGUGGUCAUAACGAGCCUGACUCGAAAUCAGGUUGUCCGAGAGGGCACGUGGGUUCGAAUCCCACCCGCUCCGCCA
rnacentral:tRNA from 1 species